ACACUUCAGGCCCAUCUAUAACCCUGUUGUUGGUUUCUGUGACACCCUGUUGCUUGCAAACAAGGGUGUUAACUUCAGAGAAACUGCCAUCUGCCAUCACCUGGAUGAGCAAUGGAGAAAGCUAGUGUGUCCGGGGCAAGAGGGAGGCAUCCAUGCACCACUGGAUGCUGCCUGAAGGCCUUAAGGUUCCUGGUCAGCUACUGCUGGACCAACCAAAUGUGGCCUGAGAGGCGGGUGCUAGGAGAUGGGUCUCUCCAGAAACUGCAUUGUGACUGGAGAGGGCAGGGCAGUUCCAGAAGAGGAGGAAGUGCUGGACAGCAAAUUGUACAAGAGCUCACAGCAUCCCCAGUAGGAGGUCAGCCCAGACUGAGACUGGAACUUCUUAAAUCUCUUCCAUGGAAAGGACCGGCAUGAGUUUGGAUUAGGUGCUGUCCCAAGCCUGAGAAGAAAAACAAGGAAAGACCUUGAGAUGCUCCCAGUGAAGGGCUUCUUAUUUUUAUCCAUCAGCAUGUGAUUGGAGACGGAAGCAUGAUGAUUUAAAACCUAUCCCUUGGGACUUCCCUGGUGGCGCAGUGGUUAAGAAUCUGCCUGCCAAUGCAGGGGACACGGGUUUGAGCCCUGGUCCAGGAAGAUCUCAC